ACUAAGGACCCUGGGAUUAAACACCUCACUCUGCAACUUGAUCCUGGGCAACACAUCUGCCAUGCUGACCCUCAACACGGGGGCCCCACAGGCGAUGCUGUUCACCCACAACUGCAUGGCCACAACUGCAUACAACUCCAGCACCAUCAUUAAGUUGACAGACGACACAGUGGUGGUAGGCCUGAUCCCUGGCGAUGAUGAGACAGCUUACAGGGAGGAGGUCAGAGACAUUGCAGUGUUGAGCAAGGACAACAACCUCUCCCUCAACGUCAGCAAGACAAAAGAGCUGAUCACAGACUACAGGAAAUGGAGGGCCGAGCACGCCCCAUCCUCAUCGACUGGGCUGUUGUGGAACAGGUCGAGAUCUUUGGGACAAGUCUCUGAAUGUCCUUGAGUGGCCCAGCCAGAGCUCGGACUUGAACCCAAUCGAAUAUCUCUGGAGAGACCUGAAAAUAGCUGUGCAGCAACGCUCCCCAUCCAACCUGACAGAGCUUGAGAGGAUCUGCAGAGAAGAAUGGGAGAAACUCUCCAAAUACAGGUGUCGCCCAUCUUCCUCAUUAUCCCCUGUGUAUUUACACCUGUGUUUUCUGUUUGUCUGUGCCAGUUUGUCUUGUUUGCCAAGUCAACCAGCGUUUUUCUCCUAGCUCCUGUUUUUCCCAGUCUCUGUUUUUCUCAUCCUUCUGGUUCUGACCCUUGCCCAUCCUGACUCUGUGCCUGGCUGCCUGACCAUUCUGCCUGCCCCUGACCUCGAGCCUGCCUACCGCCCUGUACUGUUUUGGACUCUGACCUGGUUAUGAACUCUUGCCUGUCCCCGACCUGCCUUUUGCCUACCCCUUGGACUAUAAUAAAUAUCAGAGCUCAAACCA